AGAGUUUGAUCCUGGCUCAGGACGAACGCUGGCGGCGUGCCUAAUACAUGCAAGUAGAACGCUGAAGAGAGGAGCUUGCUCUUCUUGGAUGAGUUGCGAACGGGUGAGUAACGCGUAGGUAACCUGCCUGGUAGCGGGGGAUAACUAUUGGAAACGAUAGCUAAUACCGCAUAAAAUUGAUUAUUGCAUGAUAAUUAAUUGAAAGAUGCAAUUGCAUCACUACCAGAUGGACCUGCGUUGUAUUAGCUAGUUGGUGAGGUAACGGCUCACCAAGGCGACGAUACAUAGCCGACCUGAGAGGGUGAUCGGCCACACUGGGACUGAGACACGGCCCAGACUCCUACGGGAGGCAGCAGUAGGGAAUCUUCGGCAAUGGGGGGAACCCUGACCGAGCAACGCCGCGUGAGUGAAGAAGGUUUUCGGAUCGUAAAGCUCUGUUGUAAGAGAAGAACGGGUGUGAGAGUGGAAAGUUCACACUGUGACGGUAUCUUACCAGAAAGGGACGGCUAACUACGUGCCAGCAGCCGCGGUAAUACGUAGGUCCCGAGCGUUGUCCGGAUUUAUUGGGCGUAAAGCGAGCGCAGGCGGUUAGAUAAGUCUGAAGUUAAAGGCUGUGGCUUAACCAUAGUAUGCUUUGGAAACUGUUUAACUUGAGUGCAGAAGGGGAGAGUGGAAUUCCAUGUGUAGCGGUGAAAUGCGUAGAUAUAUGGAGGAACACCGGUGGCGAAAGCGGCUCUCUGGUCUGUAACUGACGCUGAGGCUCGAAAGCGUGGGGAGCGAACAGGAUUAGAUACCCUGGUAGUCCACGCCGUAAACGAUGAUUACUCGAAGUAUGCGAUAUGACAGUAUGCUUCCAAGCGAAAGUGAUAAGUAAUCCACCUGGGGAGUACGCCGGCAACGGUGAAACUCAAAGGAAUUGACGGGGGCCCGCACAAGCGGAGGAACAUGUGGUUUAAUUCGAUGAUACGCGAGGAACCUUACCCGGGAUUGAAAUGUAUGUGAGCCUCUUGGGAAACCGAGAGGGUUCUCUUCGGAGACACAUAUGUAGGUGCUGCAUGGUUGUCGUCAGCUCGUGCCGUGAGGUGUCGGCUUAAGUGCCAUAACGAGCGCAACCCUUAUCGUCAGUUACUAACAGGUAGAGCUGAGGACUCUGGCGAGACUGCCGUCGUAAGGCGAGAGGAAGGUGGGGAUGACGUCAAAUCAGCACGGCCCUUACAUCCGGGGCGACACACGUGUUACAAUGGUAGGGACAGAGAGUAGCCACUCGGUGACGAGGAGCGGAUCUCGAAACCCUAUCUCAGUUCGGAUCGGAGUCUGCAACUCGACUCCGUGAAGCCGGAUUCGCUAGUAAUCGCGCAUCAGCCAUGGCGCGGUGAAUACGUUCCCGGGCCUUGUACACACCGCCCGUCAAGCCAUGGGAGCCGGGGGUACCUGAAGUCCGUAACCGAAAGGAUCGGCCUAGGGUAAAACUGGUGACUGGGGCUAAGUCGUAACAAGGUAGCCGUACCGGAAGGUGC
rnacentral:rRNA from 1 species